rnacentral:rRNA from 1 species
UACGUAGGGUGCAAGCGUUGUCCGGAAUUAUUGGGCGUAAAGAGCUCGUAGGCGGUCUGUUGCGUCGGCUGUGAAAACCCGGGGCUCAACCCCGGGCCUGCAGCCGAUACGGGCAGACUAGAGUUCGGCAGGGGAGACUGGAAUUCCUGGUGUAGCGGUGAAAUGCGCAGAUAUCAGGAGGAACACCAGUGGCGAAGGCGCCGCUCUGGGCCGAGACUGACGCUGAGGAGCGAAAGCGUGGGUAGCAAACAGG